UCAUCCUAUGUUCUUCGUCCUUGUUUCUGCAAACCCACAAAUUAGUCACCCGCGAAUCCAAACCCAUUUUUCAUCUUUCAACCUUCGUUCUUCAUCAAACUCAGCCACAAAUUAAACAUGCGCAUCUUACCCAUGAAAACUUUUUCAUCCUUCCACAUUUAACCUUCAUCCUUCAGUGAAAACGUGAAUCGUGAAUCGCAGCUUUCAGCCUUCAUCGCUGGCGACGAGUUGGUUCGGCGCAACAUUUUUCUACUUCAGCACCGCAACCAGUUUUCUUUGUCUUCCUCUUCCAUCUAUCAAUGAGCAUUUCCGCCAAGAAGUGUCAAUUUCUUUCACUAUCGAGAAGUGUUUGUUGUUUUCUCCGCAUGAGAACACUCUAAUGUCGUUGUCGGUGAUGCAAGCGGUUGGAUCGGUUAUGACAAAUAAAUACAGUGAAGGUUAUCCAGGUGCUAGAUACUAUCGUGGAAAUGAGUACAUUGAUAUGGCUGAGACUUUGUGUCAGAAGCGUGCAUUGGAAGCUUUUCGGUUGGAUCCGGCAAAAUGGGGAGGUACAUAAGAUGGAAAAUAUUUAUUUAUGGUGCAGUUUGAGUUUAUUUGAGUCUAACUAAGAAUGCUCAUUUAUGUAUGAGCAAGAAUUUGGGAACUUAUACUUUUUAUUUGAUAAAUUCAAGCAAUAAGUCAAUCUAAGGACUGCAAACGUAAUUUUGCUAUUUGUUUUUUAGUUCGCAGUUUUGGCUUCCUCCAUACUAAUU